rnacentral:rRNA from 1 species
AUUGAACGCUGGCGGCAGGCUUAACACAUGCAAGUCGAGCGAGCGGCGGACGGGUGAGUAAUGUCUGGGAAACUGCCUGAUGGAGGGGGAUAACUACUGGAAACGGUAGCUAAUACCGCAUACCAUCAGAUGUGCCCAGAUGGGAUUAGCUAGUAGGUGGUGUAAUGGCUCACAUAGGAGACGAUCCCUAGCUGGUCUGAGUGGAUGACCAGACACACUGGAAAUGAGACACGGUCCAGACUCCUACGGGAGGAAGGAGUGGGGAAAAUUGGACAAUGGGCGCAAGCCUGAUGCAGCCAUGCCGCGUGUGUGAAGAAGGCCUUCGGGUUGUAAAGCACGUUCAGCGAGGAGGCGUUACUCGCAGAAGAAGCACCGGCUAACUCCGUGCCAGCAGCCGCGGUAAUUUC